rnacentral:rRNA from 1 species
AGUGAACGCUGGCGGUAGGCCUAACACAUGCAAGUCGAACGGCAGCACAGUAAGAGCUUGCUCUUACGGGUGGCGAGUGGCGGACGGGUGAGGAAUACAUCGGAAUCUACUUUUUCGUGGGGGAUAACGUAGGGAAACUUACGCUAAUACCGCAUACGACCUACGGGUGAAAGCAGGGGAUCUUCGGACCUUGCGCGAUUGAAUGAGCCGAUGUCGGAUUAGCUAGUUGGCGGGGUAAAGGCCCACCAAGGCGACGAUCCGUAGCUGGUCUGAGAGGAUGAUCAGCCACACUGGAACAGAGAAACGGUCCAGACUCCUACGGGAGGAAGCAGUGGGGAAUAUUAGACAAUGGGCGCAAGCCUGAUCCAGCAAUACCGCGUGGGUGAAGAAGGCCUUCGGGUUGUAAAGCCCUUUUGUUGGGAAAGAAAAGCAGCAGGUUAAUACCCCGCUGUUCUGACGGUACCCAAAGAAUAAGCACCGGCUAACUUCGUG